rnacentral:rRNA from 1 species
GAUGAACGCUGGCGGCGUGCCUAAUACAUGCAAGUCGAGCGAACGGACGAGAAGCUUGCUUCUCUGAUGUUAGCGGCGGACGGGUGAGUAACACGUGGAUAACCUACCUAUAAGACUGGGAUAACUUCGGGAAACCGGAGCUAAUACCGGAUAAUAUUUUGAACCGCAUGGUUCAAAAGUGAAAGACGGUCUUGCUGUCACUUAUAGAUGGAUCCGCGCUGCAUUAGCUAGUUGGUAAGGUAACGGCUUACCAAGGCAACGAUGCAUAGCCGACCUGAGAGGGUGAUCAGCCACACUGGAACUGAGACACGGUCCCGACUCCUACGGGAGGCAGCGGUAGGGAAUCUUCCGCAAUGAGCGAAAGCCUGACGGAGCACCGCCGCGUGAGUGAUGAAGGUCUUCGGAUCGUAAAACGCUGUUAUUAGGGAAGUACAUAUGUGUAAGUAACUGUGCACAUCUUGACGGUACCUAAUCAGAAAGCCACGGCUAACUACGUG